rnacentral:rRNA from 1 species
CUCCCGUGGACUUUUAUACCCAUCGCGGGUACCCUCUGCUCCAUGGGACCCCCCAAAUAGCCGCAGUACUCUGACUGUGCUAAGGUAGCAUGAUAAUUUAUUUCUUAAUUAGAAACCAGUAUAAAUGAGACCGAUAACGACUCUUCCUCUUUCUUAAACACAACACGUAAAAUUGAUAUUUGUUUCAAAAAGAACAAAUUACCGGGGGGACGACAAGACCCUGUGAAACUUUAUUCCAACACAAACCACUGAACUUAGAACUGAGAUUUUUAAUAUCUCCCCAAGCAAGUUAGGAAUUAAGCUGGGGCGGCCAUAAAUAAACCUUUAAAAAUAUAACACUAAUUAAUGAAUUUUUAGAACUUAAAUUAAACUAGAACAAGUUACUCCAGGGAUAACAGCACAAUUUUUUUAAACAGACCUAAUGGAUAAAAAAGCUUGUGACCUCGAUGUUGAAUUGAAGUCCCUUAUCUAAGCAGAAAUAGAAACUAGGGGGUCUGUUCGACCUUUAAUUCUUC